GUGGGGAAUAUUGGACAAUGGGCGAAAGCCUGAUCCAGCCAUGCCGCGUGUGUGAAGAAGGUCUUCGGAUUGUAAAGCACUUUAAGUUGGGAGGAAGGGCAGUAAGUUAAUACCUUGCUGUUUUGACGUUACCAACAGAAUAAGCACCGGCUAACUUCGUGCCAGCAGCCGCGGUAAUACGAAGGGUGCAAGCGUUAAUCGGAAUUACUGGGCGUAAAGCGCGCGUAGGUGGUUUUGUAAGUUGGAGGUGAAAUCCCCGGGCUCAACCUGGGAACUGCCUCCGAAACUGCAUGACUAGAGUACGGUAGAGGGUAGUGGAAUUUCCUGUGUAGCGGUGAAAUGCGUAGAUAUAGGAAGGAACACCAGUGGCGAAGGCGACUACCUGGACUGAUACUGACACUGAGGUGCGAAAGCGUGGGGAGCAAACAGGAUUAGAAACCCUGGUAGUCC
rnacentral:rRNA from 1 species